GACGAACGCUGGCGGCGUGCCUAAUACAUGCAAGUAGAACGCUGAAGGAGGAGCUUGCUCUUCUGGAUGAGUUGCGAACGGGUGAGUAACGCGUAGGUAACCUGCCUGGUAGUGGGGGAUAACUAUUGGAAACGAUAGCUAAUACCGCAUAAUAACAGUUGUUGCAUGACAACUGUUUGAAAGGUGCAAUUGCAUCACUACCAGAUGGACCUGCGUUGUAUUAGCUAGUUGGUGGGGUAACGGCUCACCAAGGCGACGAUACAUAGCCGACCUGAGAGGGUGAUCGGCCACACUGGGACUGAGACACGGCCCAGACUCCUACGGGAGGCAGCAGUAGGGAAUCUUCGGCAAUGGACGAAAGUCUGACCGAGCAACGCCGCGUGAGUGAAGAAGGUUUUCGGAUCGUAAAGCUCUGUUGUAAGAGAAGAACGAGUGUGAGAGUGGAAAGUUCACACUGUGACGGUAUCUUACCAGAAAGGGACGGCUAACUACGU
rnacentral:rRNA from 1 species